AACGAACGCUGGCGGCAUGCCUAACACAUGCAAGUCGAACGAGGGCUUCGGCCCUAGUGGCGCACGGGUGAGUAACACGUGGGAACCUGCCUUUCGGUUCGGGAUAACGUCUGGAAACGGACGCUAACACCGGAUACGCCCCCCAUUCGAGAGUUAGGGGGGGAAAGUUCACGCCGAGAGAGGGGCCCGCGUCCGAUUAGGUAGUUGGUGGGGUAACGGCCCACCAAGCCGACGAUCGGUAGCUGGUCUGAGAGGAUGAUCAGCCACACUGGGACUGAGACACGGCCCAGACUCCUACGGGAGGCAGCAGUGGGGAAUAUUGGACAAUGGGGGCAACCCUGAUCCAGCAAUGCCGCGUGAGUGAUGAAGGCCUUCGGGUUGUAAAGCUCUUUCGCACGCGACGAUGAUGACGGUAGCGUGAGAAGAAGCCCCGGCUAACUUCGUGCCAGCAGCCGCAGUAAUAC
rnacentral:rRNA from 1 species